rnacentral:rRNA from 1 species
CGCACGGGUGAGUAACACGUAUCCAACCUGCCGUCUACUCUUGGACAGCCUUCUGAAGGAAGAUUAAUACAAGAUGGCAUCAUGAGUCCGCAUGUUCACAUGAUUAAAGGUAUUCCGGUAGACGAUGGGGAUGCGUUCCAUUAGAUAGUAGGCGGGGUAACGGCCCACCUAGUCUUCGAUGGGUAGGGGUUCUGAGAGGAAGGUCCCCCACAUUGGAACUGAGACACGGUCCAAACUCCUACGGGAGGCAGCAUG